rnacentral:rRNA from 1 species
UACGGAGGGUGCAAGCGUUAUCCGGAUUCACUGGGUUUAAAGGGUGCGUAGGUGGGUUGGUAAGUCAGUGGUGAAAUCCCCGAGCUUAACUUGGGAACUGCCAUUGAUACUAUUAAUCUUGAAUACCGUGGAGGUUAGCGGAAUAUGUCAUGUAGCGGUGAAAUGCUUAGAUAUGACAUAGAACACCAAUUGCGAAGGCAGCUGGCUACACGAAUAUUGACACUGAUGCACGAAAGCGUGGGGAGCGAACAGG